rnacentral:rRNA from 1 species
UACGUAGGGGGCAAGCGUUGUCCGGAAUCAUUGGGCGUAAAGAGCGCGUAGGCGGCCCUGUAAGUCCGCUGUGAAAGUCAAGGGCUCAACCCUUGGAUGCCGGUGGAUACUGCAGGGCUAGAGUCCGGAAGAGGAGAGUGGAAUUCCUGGUGUAGCGGUGAAAUGCGCAGAUAUCAGGAAGAACACCCGUGGCGAAGGCGGCUCUCUGGGACGGUACUGACGCUGAGACGCGAAAGCGUGGGGAGCGAGCAGG